UUUUUUUAUGGUUUUUCUUUUCUUUCAUGAUCCGGUUCUGAAUUUUGAUGGUUUCUCUGAUUCCUCUUCUGCUCCGCCGCAAGAGCUACUCCGAUUGUCCCUCAGGCGUGGACUAAGGCUCGACGACUAUGGGACGUAGGCAGGCACUAAAGGUUGACGAUGAUGGGAUGUAGAUGGUGCUUUGGUGGUGAGGGCUAGAUCGGUGCAGGUGGUGGUCGACUGUGUCUUGUGCAAGGUCAGGGACAGAUAGGGACUGAAGGGUGACGAAUGGGUUGAUAUUGUGGUGGCUAAUAGCAAUUCCUACAAUCCGCGAGUACAACACAUAUCUUCAAGACAGAAAACCAGCGAAAAAGUCGACGCAUUCUGUUGGCUUUCCUUAGCUAUUUGCAUAGUAGAGCUUCUCAUUUGCAUCAAGUUUGGACAUGAAGAUGAUAAUUUGAAAGUUGCCACUGUUGGACAGUGCCCUGAAGGUGAUACUGCAACGACUAACAAUUAUGAGCGAUGUGAAAAGCCAGAUAAAAAGCCUACUAGGCAAUGGUUAUUGGUAGUUGCUAACAGAUUACUAGUCUCUGCUGUAAGGAAAGGUGAAGAUGUAUGGCAUUUAGAGAUUAGUGCUAGGGGUUUAGUCAGUGCUCUUC